CCCUUAGAUGUCCUGGGCCGCACGCGCGCUACACUGAUGCAUUCAACGAGUUUUACCUUGGCCGAGAGGCCUGGGCAAUCUUUUAAACCUGCAUCGUGAUAGGGAUAGAUUAUUGCAAUUAUUAAUCUUGAACGAGGAAUUCCUAGUAAACGCAAAUCAUCAAUUUGCAUUGAUUAUGUCCCUGCCCUUUGUACACACCGCCCGUCGCACCUACCGAUUGAAUGGUCCGGUGAAGCCUCGGGAUUGUGGCCAGUUCACUUUAUUGGGAGUUGGCUGCGAGAACUUGUCUAAACCUUAUCAUUUAGAGGAAGGUGAAGUCGUAACA
rnacentral:rRNA from 1 species